AGGCAGCAGUGAGGAAUAUUGGUCAAUGGGCGAGAGCCUGAACCAGCCAAGUAGCGUGAAGGAUGACUGCCCUAUGGGUUGUAAACUUCUUUUAUAAAGGAAUAAAGUCGGGUAUGCAUACCCGUUUGCAUGUACUUUAUGAAUAAGGAUCGGCUAACUCCGUGCC
rnacentral:rRNA from 1 species